rnacentral:rRNA from 1 species
UAACAAGGAUUCCCCUAGUAACUGCGAGUGAAGCGGGAAAAGCUCAAAUUUAAAAUCUGGCGGCUUUGCUGUCCGAGUUGUAAUCUGGAGAAGCGUUUUCCGCGUCGGACCGUGUACAAGUCUCUUGGAACAGAGCGUCAUAGAGGGUGAGAAUCCCGUCCAUGACACGGACUACCGAUGCUUUGUGAUACGCUCUCGAAGAGUCGAGUUGUUUGGGAAUGCAGCUCAAAAUGGGUGGUAAAUUCCAUCUAAAGCUAAAUAUUGGCGAGAGACCGAUAGCGAACAAGUACCGUGAGGGAAAGAUGAAAAGCACUUUGGAAAGAGAGUUAAACAGUACGUGAAAUUGUUGAAAGGGAAACGCUUGAAGUCAGUCGCGUCUUGCAGGACUCAGCCUUGCUUCUGCUUGGUGUACUUCCUGUAGGACGGGUCAACAUCGAUUUUGGUCGACGGACAAAGGGGAUGGGAAUGUGGCAGUCUUCGGGCUGUGUUAUAGCCCUCUUCCGCAUACGUCGACUGGGAUCGAGGACCGCAGCGCGCCUUUAAUGGCCGGGAGUUCGCUCCACGUAUCGCGCUUAGGAUGUUGGCAUAAUGGCUUUAAGCGACCCGUCUUGAAACACGGACCAAGGAGUCUAACAUGCUUGCGAGUGUUAGGGUGGAAAACCCUUGCGCGUAAUGAAAGUGAAAGUUGAGAACCUCCGCAAGGGGGUGCACCGACGCCCGGCCCUGAAGUUUACUGACGGUGCUGCGGUAGAGCACGUAUGUUGGGACCCGAAAGAUGGUGAACUAUGCCUGAAUAGGGCGAAGCCAGAGGAAACUCUGGUGGAGGCUCGUAGCGAUUCUGACGUGCAAAUCGAUCGUCAAAUUUGGG